AUGAAACACUCCUACGGGAGGCAGCAGUGGGGAAUUUUGGACAAUGGGCGAAAGCCUGAUCCAGCCAUGCCGCGUGUGUGAAGAAGGUCUUCGGAUUGUAAAGCACUUUAAGUUGGGAGGAAGGGCAUUAACCUAAUACGUUAGUGUCUUGACGUUACAGACAGAAUAAGCACCGGCUAACUCUGUGCCAGCAGCCGCGGUAAUACAGAGGGUGCAAGCGUUAAUCGGAAUUACUGGGCUUAAAGCGCGCGUAGGUGGUUUGUUAAGUUGAAUGUGAAAUCCCCGGGCUCAACCUGGGAACUGCAUCCAAAACUGGCAAGCUAGAGUAUGGUAGAGGGUAGUGGAAUUUCCUGUGUAGCGGUGAAAUGCGUAGAUAUAGGAAGGAACACCAGUGGCGAAGGCGACUACCUGGACUGAUACUGACACUGAGGUGCGAAAGCGUGGGGAGCAAACAGGAUUAGAUACCCGAGUAGUCCGAAGUUC
rnacentral:rRNA from 1 species